rnacentral:rRNA from 1 species
GAUGAACGCUAGCGGGAGGCUUAACACAUGCAAGUCGAGGGGCAGCACGGGGUAGCAAUACUCUGGUGGCGACCGGCGCACGGGUGAGUAACGCGUAUGCAACCUACCCUGUACAGGGGGAUAGCCCGGAGAAAUUCGGAUUAAUACCCCAUAAUGAUAUUGAGAGGCAUCUUUUAAUAUUUAAAGUUUCGACGGUACGGGAUGGGCAUGCGUGACAUUAGCUAGUUGGUAGGGUAACGGCCUACCAAGGCUUCGAUGUCUAGGGGUCCUGAGAGGGUGAUCCCCCACACUGGUACUGAGACACGGACCAGACUCCUACGGGAGGCAGCAGUGAGGAAUAUUGGUCAAUGGACGUAAGUCUGAACCAGCCAUCCCGCGUGCAGGAAGAAGGCGCUAUGCGUCGUAAACUGCUUUUCCAGGGGAAGAAAACCCGUUACGUGUAGCGGCUUGCCGGUACCCUGGGAAUAAGCAUCGGCUAACUCCGUGCCAGCAGCCGCGGUAAUACGGAGGAUGCGAGCGUUAUCCGGAUUUAUUGGGUUUAAAGGGUGCGUAGGCGGAUUAAUAAGUCAGCGGUGAAAACCUUCAGCUUAACUGGAGACUUGCCAUUGAUACUGUUAGUCUUGAGUACGGUCAAGGUAGGCGGAAUGUGUAAUGUAGCGGUGAAANNNNNAGAUAUGGCACAGAACACCAAUUGCGAAGGNAGCUUACUAAGGCGAUACUGACGCUGAGGCACGAAAGCGUGGGGAUCGAACAGGAUUAGAUACCCUGGUNNUCCACGCCGUAAACGAUGAUCACUCGUCAUUGGCGAUAUACGGUCAGUGACCUAGCGAAAGCGUUAAGUGAUCCACCUGGGGAGUACGAUCGCAAGAUUGAAACUCAAAGGAAUUGACGGGGGCCCGCACAAGCGGUGGAGCAUGUGGUUUAAUUCGAUGAUACGCGAGGAACCUUACCAGGGCUCGAACGUACGUUGACAGUCGCGGAAACGUGAUCUUCUUCGGACAACGUGCGAGGUGCUGCAUGGCUGUCGUCAGCUCGUGCCGUGAGGUGUCGGGUUAAGUCCCAUAACGAGCGCAACCCCCAUUUCUAGUUGCCAGCGGGUAAUGCCGGGGACUCAAGAGAAACUGCCCGUGUAAACGGUGAGGAAGGUGGGGACGACGUCAAGUCAUCACGGCCCUUACGUCCUGGGCUACACACGUGCUACAAUGGCGAGUACAGAGGGAAGCUACUGGGUGACCAGAUGCAGAUCUUCAAAACUCGUCUCAGUUCGGAUCGGAGUCUGCAACCCGACUCCGUGAAGCUGGAAUCGCUAGUAAUCGCAUAUCAGCCAUGAUGCGGUGAAUACGUUCCCGGGCCU